UAGGGAAUCUUCCACAAUGGGCGAAAGCCUGAUGGAGCAACGCCGCGUGUGUGAUGAAGGCUUUCGGGUCGUAAGCACUGUUGUUAAGAAGAACACGUAUGAGAGUAACUGUUCAUACGUUGACGGUAUUUAACCAGAAAGUCACGGCUAACUACGUGCCAA
rnacentral:rRNA from 1 species